rnacentral:lncRNA from 1 species
UGGUGAGGGGUUCCGCCUGUUGAUGGUGAAUGGCUGGAGGGCUCCGCCUGUUGGUGGUGAAUGCAUGGAGGGCUCUGCCUGUUGGUGGUCAGAGUUGGGAGGGCUCUGCCUGUUGGUGGUGAAUGUCUGGAGGGCUCCGCCUGUUGGUGGUGAGAGCUGGGAGGGUUCCGCCUGUUGGUGGUGAAUGCCUGGAGAGCUCCGCUUGUUGGUGGUGAAUGCCUGGAAGGCUCCGCCUGUUGGUGGUGAAUGCCUGGAAGGCUCCGCCUGUUGGUGGUGAGAGCUGGGAGGUUCGUGGUGAGGGGUUCUACCUGUUGGUGGUGAGAGCUUGGAGGGCUCCGCCUGUUGGUGGUGAAUGCAUGGAGGGCUCUGCCUGUUGAUGGUGAGAGCUGGGAGGGCUCCGCCUGUUGGUGGUGAGAGCUGGGAGGUUCGUGGUGAGGGGUUCCACCCGUUGGUGGUGAGUGCCAGGGUGUUCGUGGUGAGCGCUGCCGCCUGUUGGUGGUGAGAGCUGGGAUGGCUGGCGCCUGUUGGUGGUGAAUGCCUGGAGGGCUCCGCCUGUUGGUGGUGAGAGCUGGGAGGGCUCUGCCUGUUGGUGGUGAAUGUCCGGAGGGCUCUGCCUGUUGGUGAUGAGAGCUGGGAGGUUCAUGGUGAGGGGUUCCGCCUGUUGGUGGCGAGCAGUCAGAGCUGAGAGGGCUCCGCCUGUUGGUGGUGAGCACCAGGAGGUUCGUGGUGAGGGGUUCCACCUGUUGGCGGUCGGAGCUGGGAGGGCUCCGCCUGUUGGUGGUGAGAGCUGGGAGGUUCGUGGUGAGCACUGCCGCCUGUUGGUGGUGAGAGCUGGGAGGGCUCCUCCUGUUGGUGGUGAAUGCCUGGAGGGCUCCGCCUGUUGGUGGUGAAUGCCUGGAGGGCUCUGCCUGUUGGUGGUGACAGCUGGAAGAUUCGUGGUGAGGGGUUCCGCCUGUUGGUGGUG